GACAGAGGGUGCAAACGUUGUUCGGAUUUACUGGGCGUAAAGCGUGUGUAGGCGGCUUUGUAUGUCGGAUGUGAAAGCCCACGGCUCAACCGUGGAAGUGCAUCCGAAACUGCAUAGCUUGAGUCCCGGAGAGGAAGGUGGAAUGCUUGGUGUAGAGGUGAAAUUCGUAGAUAUCAAGCAGAACACCUGCGGCGAAGGCGGCCU
rnacentral:rRNA from 1 species